UGAAAUGCCUUCAGAUGUCCCGUUCUAAUGU
rnacentral:piRNA from 1 species